UCGACCGCCUGGGGAGUACGGCCGCAAGGUUAAAACUCAAAUGAAUUGACGGGGGCCCGCACAAGCGGUGGAGCAUGUGGUUUAAUUCGAUGCAACGCGAAGAACCUUACCUGGUCUUGACAUCCACGGAAGUUUUCAGAGAUGAGAAUGUGCCUUCGGGAACCGUGAGACAGGUGCUGCAUGGCUGUCGUCAGCUCGUGUUGUGAAAUGUUGGGUUAAGUCCCGCAACGAGCGCAACCCUUAUCCUUUGUUGCCAGCGGUCCGGCCGGGAACUCAAAGGAGACUGCCAGU
rnacentral:rRNA from 3 species